UCGGGAAUUUUGGGCAAUGGGCGAAAGCCUGACCCAGCAACGCCGCGUGAAGGAUGAAGUAUUUCGGUAUGUAAACUUCGUAAGAAUAGGAAGAAUAAAUGACGGUACUAUUUAUAAGGUCCGGCUAACUACGUGCCAGCAGCCGCGGUAAUACGUAGGGACCAAGCGUUGUUCGGAUUUACUGGGCGUAAAGGGCGCGUAGGCGGCAAUUCAAGUCAUCUGUGAAAUCUCCGGGCUUAACUCGGAACGGUCAGAUGAUACUGCUUUGCUAGAGUGCAGAAGGGGCAAUCGGAAUUCUUGGUGUAGCGGUGAAAUGCGUAGAUAUCAAGAGGAACACCUGAGGUGAAGACGGGUUGCUGGGCUGACACUGACGCUGAGGCGCGAAAGCCAGGGGAGCAAACGGGAUUAGAUACCCAUGUAGUCCCUGAGCGGGCUGGCAAGGCGCAU
rnacentral:rRNA from 1 species